GACGAACCGUGCGAACGUUGUUCGGAUUCACUGGGCUUAAAGGGCGCGUAGGCGGGCUCACCAGUCAGGGGUGAAAGCUCCCGGCUCAACCGGGAAAGUGCCUUUGAUACUGUGAGUCUCGAGGGAGGUAGGGGCACGCGGAACUUCCGGUGGAGCGGUGAAAUGCGUAGAUAUCGGAAGGAACGCCGGUGGCGAAAGCGGCGUGCUGGACCUCUUCUGACGCUGAGGCGCGAAAGCUAGGGGAGCAAACGGG
rnacentral:rRNA from 1 species